rnacentral:rRNA from 1 species
GAAUGAAACUCAAAGGAAUUGACGGGGGCCCGCACAAGCGGUGGAGCAUGUGGUUUAAUUCGAUGAUACGCGAGGAACCUUACCAGGGCUUAAAUGUAGUCUGACAGGUCUGGAAACAGACUUUUCUUCGGACAGAUUACAAGGUGCUGCAUGGUUGUCGUCAGCUCGUGCCGUGAGGUGUCAGGUUAAGUCCUAUAACGAGCGCAACCCCUGUGGUUAGUUGCCAGCGAGUAAUGUCGGGAACUCUAGCCAGACUGCCGGUGCAAACCGCGAGGAAGGUGGGGAUGACGUCAAAUCAUCACGGCCCUUACGUCCUGGGCCACACACGUGCUACAAUGGUAGGGACAGAGAGCAGCCACUUCGCGAGAAGGAGCGAAUCUACAAACCCUAUCACAGUUCGGAUCGCAGUCUGCAACUCGACUGCGUGAAGCUGGAAUCGCUAGUAAUCGCAUAUCAGCCAUGAUGCGGUGAAUACGUUCCCGGGCCUUGUACACACCGCCCGUCAAGCCAUGGAAGCCGGGGGUACCUGAAGUCGGUCACCGCAAGGAGCCGCCUAGGGUAAAACUGGUAACUGGGGCUAAGUCGUAACAAGGUAACCGUA